AUGAAGUGUCUGCACACGGGCCGGCUGGACAUGUCUGCAGCACACAGAGAGAAAGAGAGAGAGGAGAGAGAGAGGAGAGUCAGCACACAGAGAGAGGAGAGAGAGAGGAGAGUCAGCACACAGAGAGAGGAGAGGGAGGAGAGUCAGCACACAGAGAGAGGAGAGGGAGGAGAGUCAGCACACAGAGAGAGGAGAGGGAGAGAGCACACAGAGAGAGGAGAGAGAGAGGGGAGAGAGAGGGGAGACAGCACACAGAGAGAGGAGAGAGAGAGGGGAAAGGGGUUAACACAGACACAGGCCCCAGGACGUGACGAGAGAGAGAGAGAGAGAGGAGACAGAAGGGACAGGAGGCACAGAGGGGGGGGGCAGACGCAGACACUGCAGCAGGGGGUCGAAGCGCCUUCUCCUCACCUCCCAUGUGGGGCCCGUUGGGGCCCCCCCCUCCUCCGCGGGGGGGCCCCCCUCCGCCUCCGCGCCCGGGCCUGCCCCGGAAGUUGGGGUCACCCCCCCCUCGGCCGCCGCGGCCCCUGUGGAAGUGCCCCCCUCCUCCUCCUCCUCCUCCUCCGCCGCCGCCGCCCCCUCCUCCUCCUCUCAUGCCGUGGGGUCCCCCGCCCCCCCGCAUGGGCUCCCCAUGCUGGUCCCAGUAGCCCUCCCCCCCGCGGGGCUGGGGGUGCGGAGGGGGGGGCCCCAUCAUCCGGGGGCCCCCGCCCCCUCCCCCGUGGGGUCCCGGGUAGUGCCCGCCGGGGGGGCCGUGGCCGUGGGGGGGGUAGUGGGGGCCGCCCUUGGGUGGGGGGUACCCCCCGUUCAUGGGGGGGCCGUGGCCCAGCAGUCCAGAACUCGCUGUGGGGGGAGAGAGAGAGAGAGAGAGAGUGGGGUUAACUGGGGGCCCCCAUGGAGAGGCACACUGGGACAGAGGGAAGACCGCAGACGG
rnacentral:lncRNA from 1 species